rnacentral:rRNA from 1 species
UACAGAGGUCUCAAGCGUUGUUCGGAUUCAUUGGGCGUAAAGGGUGCGUAGGCGGCGGGGUAAGUCGGAUGUGAAAUCCCAGGGCUCAACCCUGGAACUGCAUUCGAUACUGCCUUGCUAGAGUACUGGAGAGGAGACUGGAAUUUACGGUGUAGCAGUGAAAUGCGUAGAUAUCGUAAGGAAGACCAGUGGCGAAGGCGGGUCUCUGGACAGUUCCUGACGCUGAGGCACGAAGGUCAGGGGAGCAAACGGG